UGGAUUCGGCAGCCCUGGGGACUGCCCCUCGCGAUAAACCGGGCUCUUCUCUCGUAACCACAGAAAACCGAAUUAGUCAAGAUGCACGUUUCUCAAAUUAGGACCUGGGCGCCACCAUGUUGGUACAGUCGAGCUUAUAAGAUUUCCACUGAGAUGUCCAGAAGUAUUGGAGCUCCGCUGCACAUUUUUUUUCUUUUCUCUUGCUGCUUUUAGGAUCCUUUCUCCAUCCUUGACCUUUGGGAGUUUGGUUGUUAAAUGCCUUGAGGUCAAAGGGGAACUUCCAACUCCAACUGCAGACCAUUUGGAUAUGUUACCAGUGGGAGCACUACAUCUCAAAGUAUAUGGAUGGUGGUGAAAGAUGAGUUUAGAAGAUUAAUCGUCAUAUGUGUUUAUCAAUAAUUCAACUAAGUAGAAUAAAAUAAAUUGAAAUAAAUACAAGAGAG
rnacentral:lncRNA from 1 species